rnacentral:rRNA from 1 species
AUUGAACGCUGGCGGCAGGCCUAACACAUGCAAGUCGAGCGGAUGAAGGGAGCUUGCUCCUGGAUUCAGCGGCGGACGGGUGAGUAAUGCCUAGGAAUCUGCCUGGUAGUGGGGGAUAACGUCCGGAAACGGGCGCUAAUACCGCAUACGUCCUGAGGGAGAAAGUGGGGGGUCUUCGGACAUCACGCUAUCAGAUGAGCCUAGGUCGGAUUAGCUAGUUGGUGGGGUAAAGGCCUACCAAGGCGACGAUCCGUAACUGGUCUGAGAGGAUGAUCAGUCACACUGGAACUUAGACACGGUCCAGACUCCUACGGGAGGCAGCAGUGGGGAAUAUUGGACAAUGGGCGAAAGCCUGAUCCAGCCAUGCCGCGUGUGUGAAGAAGGUCUUCGGAUUGUAAAGCACUUUAAGUUGGGAGGAAGGGCAGUAAGUUAAUACCUUGCUGUUUUGACGUUACCAACAGAAUAAGCACCGGCUAACUUCGUG